UUGUUUUAUUCUUGUUUAUAUUUCUUUUGCCUUAGGAGACGAAUCCAAAAAAUUAGUGCUAUGACUUAUGUCAAAGAGAUCGGAAGAGGAC